UAUACUGUUAUUUGCACCCAGUGUAAUGUUACUAUAUGUAUCAAGAAAUGAUCAAUGCAACUGUAGCCUGCUUGAAUUUUGGAUACAUACAUUAUAUGACAUCUGACCGCUAGUAGAUUUUAUUUGAAUUAUUUGUAAAUAAUGAAAUCUUGGUAUAGAAAACAGCUUAGAUAUUACAAUAGUUUCCUUAGGUGAUUGCUGAUUUGCAAUGUGUCCUUGGCUUUUAAUACCUGUGUCUAAUCCACACGAGGCAAGCCAAGAGUACCAGAGAAAGUACACGAUUAGAGGAAUUCUCCGAACAAUUAACUAUAAACAAAAUAUGUAUGGGUUAGAGAGUUCUAUCAUAAUUUUAAAAGCUUAAUAAAUACAUAAUGAAGUGUUACAUACAUGGCAUACAUGUAUAAUAACUGUAAACACAAAUGGCACUUCAAACAUAUUUAUUUAUAUCCUACGAUCAUACAUACUAAAAUAGACAAAAGGAGAUGUCAAAAUAAGAAAAUAAAUUCCAACAAUAUACAAUACAUAGAUGGCUUACCUCUGCCGCAAUAAAAAAAGAAUAUUUUUAACCAAAAAAAAGAUUGAAAAAUGCACAUCAUAAGAGCUGUAUAUAGUAAGCUGUGGCAAAAUAUCCCCCCGAAUGAGGGGAAAUGACUAGUGCGGUUUAAGUUUUUGUGUUUUGUUUUUUUUGUCCAUGCCAUCUGAUUUUUACCCACAUGCCAGAUAAUCGUAAAUCAGCAUUUUAUUGUGAAGUAUUGUAAAUAUAUGUACAUUCUCCAUGACAAAAUAUACAAUUUUAAAAAAGUUUACAAAUUAUACACAAAAUAGAUAUUCCCAUUAUUUUUCCAUUUGGCUGCUGCUCGCUGGUGGGAGAGUUGUCUCCCUGUAUGCUAGUAGUUUCCAUAACAAUGAAUUCUGCUUCCAUUAAUUUUUCUUGAUCUCGUUAACAUGCAUUGUAAUUAACAAGUUCUCCUUAUGUAGUCGUUGAGACAAUCAGUGAUUACGUGAACUGUGACAAUUAAGCUUUUUAACGAGAAAUGCGUUCAUUAACUACCUCAUUGACUCAAUUUCAAAGCAUUAAUGGAUUGAUUUAAUUAACAAAUUGUGUUAAUAAAAUGCUACUUAGCUGUUGUUACUAUACUGCUAGUUCGAUACAAUAUUAUUAUUAUUAUUAUUAUUAUUAUUAUUUAUUUCUUAGCUGACGCCCUUAUCCAGGACGACUUACAAAUGUUACAAGAUAUGACAUUAUUUUUACAUUCAAUUACCCAUUUAUACAGUUGGAUUUUUACUGGAGCAAUCUAGGUAAAGUACCUUGCUCAAGGGUACAGCAGCAGUGUCCCCUACCAGGGAUUGAACCCACAAUCCUCUGGUCAAGAUUCCAGAGCCCUAACCACUACUCCACACUGCUUUAAUUAUAAAAUUAAAAUGGGUCAGCAAUAUGUUUUAAAUAUAUAAUUCUGAGGGGGUCCCCGAGUGGCUCAUCCUGUUAAAGUGAUGCCACUGGGAGCGCAGGAUGAGUCACACAGCUUGGAUGGUGCCAGUUCACAACCAGUCUGUGCAAAGAGGCCAAACUGGCUCUGAUGCUCCCGGGGUGGGGAAUGGGAAACUUGGCAGGGAUUGCUUCUCCUCAUCACUCAACAGCAACCCCUACUGGUCAGGUACAGAGCACAUUCAGAGUGGAUAAGAGGGCUGGUCUCUGUUCUCCGGGAUUGGUAGCCCCGUCCACCUCUGCUCUGGAUUGCUUGUCUUAAAAGCUAUUCUGGCUUUAGGCUUGUGAGAUCAGAGGACGCUCACACGCCCUCAGAACGUCUGUGCUGUGUGGGGACUCGCUGCUGUCAGGAGAAAAAACAUAACUGGGCAUUCUGAAUUGGGGGAAAAUAAAUAAAAAUAAUAAUUGGUCACUAAAUUUAUAUAAAUAAAAAUAUAUAUAUGUAAUUCUGUGAUACAGACAACACAACAAAGGUAACAUUUAAUUUCUUGUAAACUUUGCAAGGUGUUCUAUAACAUUUUAAGUCAUGUAAAUAACUCAAAGGGGUGAAUUGAUUUGUUGUUUAUUCCUUACACAUGUAUUCUUUAAUCCUUUAAGACAGUUUUGGAUAUAUAAUAUAAAGUCACCAGCAAUACUGGAUUUCUAUAAUGAGACAAGUAAAAAAAAUGCACCUCACUUUUCAUGACCCCUGAAUGAACAGAGAGAUCAUGAAAUAACAAUAUAAUAAAAUGGGUUCUCUUUUCUCAGAUCAUGGCGAGUUUUAUGGACAACAGCAUCGAUAUUGAUACCCAGGAUGAAGAAGUUUAUCAGAACAUACUGAAACGAUAUGAACCAGCUUGUUUGGUUCCAAAGAAACCAGCAACAUUGGGGAAAUGUCUGAAGGUGGAGCCAACAGCUCUGGGUCGUCUUCUGCUGCUGAUUAACAUAUUUUGGAGGACGACUCCGGGCACACCACACAAUCCGCCAACAGGUGGCAAUGAUCAUAGCGAGUUCCAUGGACAGCAGCAUCGUUAUUGCCACCCAGGAUGAAGAAGAUUCUGAGAACAUACUGAAACGAUAUGAACCAGCUUGUUUGAUUCCAAAGAAACCAGCACCAUUGGGGACAUUUCUAAAUAGGGAGUCAGCAGCCUUGGGUGUAAGAUGCACACUGUUUUUAAAUUAUGUUAAAAUGGUCUAGAGGGUCCUCAUUGGCUCCCAUUCAGACUUGGUGUAUAGGGUUAGGAGCUGACUCCUUGAAAUCCUGGUCAUGCUGAGUCUCUGAUCAUGGUUCAAUAUAAGAACAUACUGUAAAAAUAAAGAACAUUUAUGAACAAGAGGAGGUCAUUCUGCGCAUCUAAGCUUAUCUAGUUCUUGGUCGGGUCUUAAAGGAUCAAAGUGAUUCUGCCUCUCUGUGUGUUAGGGUUAGUAGGGUUAGGGUUAAGAUUAGAGUUAGUGUUAUAUUAUGCAAAAAUAUUUACACAUUAAGUAAAUUGUAACUAUGCAUAAUAACAUUGUCAUUACAAGUACACGUGUAUUUACUAAGUAACUACUAUGUAACUCUUUAAGACUUUAAUGUCAUUACAUCUGGUUUGACAUCUGUGGUACUGUGGUAAAUUCACAAAAAACCUUUCGGACUGUAAUGGCAAAAGGAAUAUAUGUUCUUCUGCAUAUCUACUCAAUAAAUGCAGUGCUAGGAUUCAGUAUUAACUAUAUGGGUUUAGAGGGAGUGUUCAGCAUGGUUCUGAUCUAUGUAACUUGGGUUUAGAGGGAGUGUUCAGCACGUUCUGAUCUAUGUAACUCUUGACUGGAUUUAGAGGGAGUGUUCAGCACGUUCUGAUCUAUGUAACUCUUGGGUUUAGAGGGAGUGUUCAGCACGGUUCUGAUCUAUGUAACUCUUGACUGGGUUUAGAGGGAGUGUUCAGCACGUUCUGAUCUAUGUAACUCUUGGGUUUAGAGGGAGUGUUCAGCAUGUUCUGAUCUAUGGAACUCUGAUUUCUCUAAAGUUAGAUAUUUAUAUAAUAAAAGGUAUUCUUUUGUAAGGUACGUCAGAGUCACCAGUGUAAGGUUUAUGCAUUAAUGUAAACAUGGAAUUAACUACAUUGUUUUGCUAUAAGGAUGAGACCAGAUCAUUUUCAAAUUUUAACAAUGUUUGCCAUGUAUUUUUUCCAAAUACCCACAUUACAUUCUACAUUGAACAUUAUUGUUUAGAUACAAUACGUGCCACUAGUAUUAACAGAGAGGCAAUUGAUCAGAUUACCUGAACCCUUGGAGAGAGCCCUCAGACCGAUUCACGGUGGUCCACGAUGAUCCUGGAGGUAUUGGAAGCUUCUCUGUCUGUGUUGCCUCCAUGCCCGGUAUUUAUACCAUAUGGGCUUAGGACAUACGUGACUACAGUCUGUUUCUGUUAUCUUACUAAUUAUCAGUAGAAUUAGGCCCUUUAGCUGUUACUUCAUUCAAGUGCAACCAACCACUAAUCAAUCUCUUUAGAAGGUUACCGUGGUUAAUUGUUUACCAUCUUUCAUUCCAUACAUUUCCACACAUGCCUUAUCUCUUCAAUCAUUUUAAACAUGUUCUACUUCAGCAAACUGGUUUAACAUUCCCAAUACAUUUUACUUGCAUAUGAUAUUUCCAAUACAUUUUCACCCUACACUUUAAUCAGUUGGUCAAUCAGCCUCUGUGUUGAGGGAAGAGCUGGUUGCCCCUUGUGAAGUCACUGAGAUCUUUCUGAUUUCCCUGUUGCUGAAUAGUUGCACACAGCUCUCAAACAGUCAUAUAGGUUCAGUGGAUCACAUGAUAUGCUAUUGUGAGUUUUAUUGAACGUCUCUAAUGUCAGGGACCCUCAGGAGAGCAGGUUACCUUCUGGUUCAGCAUUGGUACUCUGUCUCCAUCCCUUCAUUGCAUUGCUUGUUCUUUCUCUUCAAGGCUGCUCAGAUCAUGAUUGGGUUGGUAACCAUUGGACUUGGCAUCGUUCUGGCGAUGUGUCCUCCUUCACUUGUUAUCAUUAUCAAAUUACCCUUUUUGACUGGUUUCUUGGUAAAUACAAUUCUUAUUUCUAAAUAUGUCCAUAAUAUCGCUGUCAAAUGCAUUUAUAAUUUGACCAUUACAAUUUCCAUAUCUUCUAAAUACUUUUUAAUGCAUUUUCUAAGUCUCUGCAACUUAUUUUCAAUGAUAUGCUCUAUUAUUAUUAUUAUUAUUAGUAGUAGUAGUAGUAGUAGUAGUCUUAGUAGUAGUAUUUUACAGAUUUAACACAUGUGUACAUGUGUACAUAUGAAGUAUAUUUCGAGUUUGAAAAUAUCAUGUUUAGGUUAGAGAAUACAAUCAGCCAGGACAAUUCCUGCUGACUUCUACAUUAGUGCUUGUGUGUGAGCUAAAUUUUUACUUGUAUUUGUAUACAUAAUAAAAUAUUAUAGAACAAAUACAUGUAUUCUUCUUGGCAGUUUUUGGUGUGUGGAUCUCUAUCUGCUGCAGUAGAAAAGUAUCCAAAAAUAUUAUGGGUAAGUGGAUUAUUAGGUAUGAAUAGUGGUGGCACAGCAAGAAAUUUCACACUUCAACCUCUGAGGGCCUAUGUUUCACGUGCCUCAUGACUUAAACCUCUGAGGGCCUGUGUUUCAAAAGUGAAAUGAUUAAAAAGCAUUAUUACAGUCUCGGCAGCCCAGAGGCAUAUGAAAAUACAAUCUGCACACCUGUAUACAGAUACAAGAAAGAUAACUCCACUCCAGUAUUAUAUUAACAAUGGCACUACUCAAAAAUCAAACCAGUGCACUAAUCUAAUAUACUAAUAUGUAUAUCAAGCGUAUUCAUGUCUCAGUAUUGAUUUAACUACUUAUCCAUUAAGUAUAAUACUUGCUAGUUGACUGACUACUUAUCCGUAUUAAUGGGACGGCAGUCCUUCAUAAUGUUCUGAUCAGUGUGCUGUUAACAAACACAUUUAAUUGUUUCAAAAAAGGUCUGGGUCAGUUGUAGGACUUUCCUAUAAAAAUAAUG